UACGGGGGGGGCAAGCGUUGUUCGGAAUUACUGGGCGUAAAGGGUUCGUAGGUGGCCUGCUAAGUCACACGUGAAAUCCCUCAGCUUAACUGGGGAACUGCGUCUGAUACUGGGUGGCUUGAGUGCAGGAGAGGAAUGCGGAAUUCCAGGUGUAGCGGUGAAAUGCGUAGAUAUCUGGAGGAACACCGGUGGCGAAGGCGGCAUUCUGGACUGUAACUGACACUGAGGAACGAAAGCCAGGGGAGCAAACGGG
rnacentral:rRNA from 1 species